rnacentral:rRNA from 1 species
GACGAACGCUGGCGGCGCGCUUAACACAUGCAAGUCGAACGGAAAGGCCUGCUUUCCCUUGUGGAUUGCGGGUACUCGAGUGGCGAAUGGGUGAGUAACACGUGAGUGAUCUGCCCCCAACUUGGGUAUAAGCCUGGGAAACUGGGUCUAAUUCCCGAUAGGACUGCAGGGUGGUGCCUGCGGUGGAAAACGAUUUUCUAGUGGUUGGGGAUGAGCUCGCGGCCUAUCAGCUUGGUGGUGGGGUAAUGGCCUACCAAGGCGGCGACGGGUAGCCGGCCUGGGAGCGUGGACAGCCGCAUUGGGACUGGGACACGGCCCCGACGCGUGCGGGCGGCAGCAGUGGGGGGUCUUGCGCCGUGGGCGGGAGCCUGAUGCGGCGACGCCGCGUGGGGGAUGACGGCCUUCGGGUUGUAAACUCCUUUCGACCGCGAGGAAGCCACCUGGUUGGAAGGGUGGUGACGGUAGUGGUAGAAGAAGCACCGGCUAACUACGUG